rnacentral:rRNA from 1 species
UGGGGAAUUGUUCGCAAUGGGCGCAAGCCUGACGACGCAACGCCGCGUGGAGGAUGAAGAUCUUCGGGUCGUAAACUCCUUUCGAUCGGGAAGAACGCCUUCGGUGUGAACAACACCGAGGGGUGACGGUACCGAGAGAAGAAGCCCCGGCUAAAUCUGUGCCAGCAGCCGCGGUAAUACAGGGGGGGCAAGCGUUGUUCGGAAUUACUGGGCGUAAAGGGCCAGUAGGCGGCCGGUUAAGUCCGACGUGAAAUCCCCAAGCUUAACUUGGGAACUGCGUCGGAUACUGAUUGGCUUGAAUUCGGGAGAGGGAUGCAGAAUUCCAGGUGUAGCGGUGAAAUGCGUAGAUAUCUGGAGGAAUACCGGUGGCGAAGGCGGCAUCCUGGACCGACAUUGACGCUGAACGGCGAAAGCUAGGGGAGCAAAC